GACGAACGCUGGCGGCGUGCCUAAUACAUGCAAGUAGGACGCAGUUGCGAACGGGUGAGUAACGCGUAGGUAACUACCUAUUAGAGGGGGAUAACUAUUGGAAACGAUAGCUAAUACCGCAUACUAGUAGAUGGACCUGCGUUGUAGUAGCUAGUAGGUAGGGUAAUGGCCUAACUAGGCAACGAUUCAUAGCCGACCUGGGAGGGGGUACGGGCACACUUGGAAUGGGACAAGGGCCAGAACCCUUAGGGGGGGAGGCGUAGGGAAACUUUGGACAUGGGGGGAAACCUGACCGCACACAGCCCCGUGAGUGGAAAAGGUUUUCGGGUCGUAAAGCUCUGUUGUGAAGGAAGCGGUACUUAACCAGAAAGGGACGGCUAACUACGUGCCAGCAGCCGCGGUAAUUC
rnacentral:rRNA from 1 species